AUACGGAGGGUGCAAGCGUUAAUCGGAAUUACUGGGCGUAAAGCGCACGCAGGCGGUUUGUUAAGUCAGAUGUGAAAUCCCCGGGCUCAACCUGGGAACUGCAUCUGAUACUGGCAAGCUUGAGUCUCGUAGAGGGGGGUAGAAUUCCAGGUGUAGCGGUGAAAUGCGUAGAGAUCUGGAGGAAUACCGGUGGCGAAGGCGGCCCCCGGGGCAAAGCGUGACCCUCAGGUGCGAAAGCGUGGGGAGCAAACAGGAUUAGAUCCCCGGGUAGCCCACGCCGUAAACGAUGUCGACUUGGAGGUUGUGCCCUUGAGGCGUGGCUUCCGGAGCUAACGCGUUAAGUCGACCGCCUGGGGAGUACGGCCGCAAGGUUAAAACUCAAAUGAAUUGACGGGG
rnacentral:rRNA from 1 species